UGGCUCUGCAAAAGGAGAAGCGAGACAACCAAAGGGAUUAAAAUUAACAAGCGAAUUGAAGGCUCUUAAAAACUUUUUCGAUUUUCCGCUGAAAUCUCUGGAUCAGCGCUCGAGAAGUCAUAAAAAAGUUGAAACGAAGGCAAUGGUCAUAAAAAUUAUUAUCCACAAUCCGCAGAAAUGCAAUUUCUUUUGCAGGGAAAGACGGGCAGGCAAGAAAAAUUAAAGACUGGCAAUCAAUUCGGGCGAAUCUGUCAUCGUGGCAGAUAAAUAUUAUCAUUGCAUGGCUCGUGGCUGGACUGCUGGCCAGGCCAAAUAGAUAUAGCCAUCUAUCAGCUGGCAGCUUUGGGGUGCAGAGGUCAUGUGUCUGUGGAUCAAUAUUUAUUGCAAAUUAUGGCUCGGCCACCACACUUUCCGUGUGGCCCACGGGGCGUAUGUGCAACAUUCCGGUUGGCCGCAAGUGCUGUGCAUUAAUUAUGCGAUUCAGAGUGUUUCUGGACUGGAUGGAUGUGUGAUUUGCGGUCGGGCCUGUCGAACUCGAGUCGCUCCAGCUAAUGUAAUUAGGUUUCCUGAUUAAAAUGGCAGCAAAAGCACAAUAACUAAGUGUAAGAAACUGGAAAAACUUCAUAAUGAACUUGCAAACAUGAAAAAUCACAAUUCAAUUUGUCUUCGUGCGAAAAUGCAAAAAUAAUUAAGACAUGCUCCUUACAAAUAAUGAACUUGCUCAACAUUUUUCCUUUUGCUCGAGGAAGACAAGGUGAAAACAGCAUGAAAUUACGAAACGCCGCUCAAAAUGCAAAAAGUUGUUGCCAUUUAAGAAGAAGUUUUGACUUAAGAACUUGUUCCGACGAUGGUGGGGCAAAGUUUUUCAAUAAGCGGUCUUGCCAAAAACAAGCCAAAGUGAGUUCAGUCAAGCAAGUGGAAAAACUACACAAAUGUGGCCAUCUUAGGAGGGGGGAAAUAUAAAAAAAUAAGUACAUAUAGAGCUCCCUCAAGCAAGUAAUCACGAAAAAUGGCUGCCGAGGCUGCCCCACCACCAUACAUUAUAACUUAAGUCAAUAAAAAUAAUUGAAAACCAACAGCAGCGGAACUUGGAGUAAUGAACCCGGCCAAGGCGACGUCCUUUUCCCGAUGGAUGUGAAAGGCAACGCCUCUGCAAAAUCGAAAUAAAAUCGAAGUCACCACAAACAAAAGGUAUGAGCUGGAGUUUAUUGACGGGAUUGACGGCACGCAAUAAAAACCGGGUCGAGGCAUAAAAAAAUCAGCGGAAACGCAAAAGGAAAACCGGAAGUCGUCGGCGGCGGAAACUUGAGGCCUGCGGCUGGGCGAAAGGUUUGAAAUAAAUAAAACAUCCGAUGGCGCUGUCAGCUCUGCGGCUAAGAUAAAAACACAUGGCACUGCAGUCAAGUCAAAGAUAAAGAGAACUCAAAUCAGAUGACAUGGCAGAACACACAGGAUGCGUAAAACAAAUGCGACAGAGCCUGGCUGAAAGAAGCUGGCCAGACCGACUGACAGAAUGACAAAGUGACGAAUUGACGCAAUGACAGCGGCACAGAACAACAAACGUUCUCUGCAUUCCUUCAAGCCAUCUUGACACUGAGAAAUGUGGCAUUGUGGGUGCUCCGAGCUUUUAUUUUUCUCCAGCCCGCGUGACUCGUUGUUCUCCACCCAACAGCAACAUCAUCAUUAUGGCCCAGAAAAAGGCAGCAGCUGUUCCAGGAGCAAGGAUCCUCGGGCCAGGAGCCAGAAGACAGGAGCUCCUUGUGCCAGUGCGAUUGAGCUGAAAUGUGGCAAAUCAGCGCUGCUCCUUGCCACACCUUUAUAAGGUUCUGGGUUCCCUGGUUAAUGAUGAUGAGGACGACAGGUGGGGUGCUGAUGUAAAUGUUUGUCGGGUUGUCACCAUCUAGUUGAAAUUUUCCGAGCUAUCAAAUAUCUGGGGUCGCGAGUCACAAAAGUCGACGAGUCAUUCUUGGUGAGGAAGGAGUUAAAGCACCUAAAAUAUUUAUAGUUAGAAGGAAAUACCUUACUUUCUUUUACACUGAUAUUUAUAUAAAAGCAGGUAUAAAGAAUCCAUUCUGCAAUUGUUUGUUAUUUCGUAAUUGCGUGGCUAAAAUUUGUAAUUAAUUUGUAAAAAACCUUUAAAAUAAAAAUUCUUAUUUAUUUCAAUCAUUCACCCAGUCAGUCGGAAAAAUGUUUAGAUAUAUGGUAUAUGUUAUUUUUCUAGGCAAGUGAAAUUGUUUAACCAGCUGUGAAUACCAAACCAAAAAAUAAAUUAGUUCGUAAUGCUGUCAAAAAUGUACCCUUUUUUAGAGAACAUUUCAGACCUGUGGUUUGCGGAAACAUUUUUUGCUACUUCCAGUUGCAUAAAAUAACGAUACGGUAUUAAGCUGAAAGCAUGCAACUUUAAUUGCAAAUAGAAACCAGAAAAAUCCACCAACUGAAUCCGACAGCUAAAACGUAAAGAAGAGGGAUAUCAAAAUGCAACAAAUGUUCAAAAUGCUGUCAUUCGGUAAACAUUUCAACAAAUUUGCUUUUUAUGACAGCUAAAUGUUAGAGUUAUUAUUUUCAUAAAUAAAUCUACAUUUGGGUGGCCUGCUAAUUUGGUUAAUUCAAUUUAAAAGCUUUGAUAUAAAUAAAAUAUCAUUAUAAUUAAAACAGCUAAUGUUUUUUAUAUUACGAUGUUGAUUACAAUAUUUAUUAAUAAAUUUAAUCAUUAUUCUUCAAUAUUUAAAAAUGUAGAAUGACUUCUUAAAGUUGAAAUAUAAUAAAAAGGUCAUGUUUACUCAAGGGUCACAUCCACAUGUCAAUAAUUCGUAAAAUAACAUUGCAUAUUAUUGGGUGAACUUUCUUGAGAUGUACAGGGUUCUUUAGCUUUUGAAAGCCGCCUUACUACUAAAUGUUUAUAAGGCCUACUGAGUAUAAAGUAGCAGCGACUGAGGCAGCGCUGCCGACUGAAUCAAAUAAGGAGUCUGCGCAGAAUAUAUCACAAAUAAAUAACACUUUUAACCCAGUUAUGGUGUCCUAAUAUUUACCAAGUAAUACUUCGAUAGGAAAAAAAUGUUUUAAAAAUACUUAACUAAUACUUCACUAACUUACUAAAAAGUAAGCUAAAUGCAUAAACUACAAGACUUGUUGUGAAUGGUAUAUUACCCUGUUCAAUAUUUUUUAAAUGAGUUUAUCAUAUGAUCAUCAUAUGGUUUUUAUAUAC